UACGUAGGGGGCAAGCGUUGUCCGGAUUUAUUGGGCGUAAAGAGCGUGUAGGCGGCCAUUCAGGUCAGCUGUGAAAACUCGAGGCUCAACCUCGAGACGUCGGUUGAAACCGUUUGGCUAGAGUCCGGAAGAGGAGAGUGGAAUUCCACGUGUAGCAGUGAAAUGCGUAGAUAUGUGGAGGAACACCGAUGGCGAAGGCAGCCCCCUGGGUCAAGACUGACGCUCAUGCACGAAAGCGUGGGGAGCAAACAGG
rnacentral:rRNA from 1 species